rnacentral:tRNA from 1 species
AAGGGAGACCUAAUUCCGGUAGGAGACGAAAAAAAAGUAGUCCCUACCAAGAAUCAAUCCCAAAAGGUCGGAGCGAGGCAAAAUUGGCUUUCAAACUAGGUUCUGGGUUCACACAAGACCUGAAUCAGGAACAAGGGCUAUUAGCUCAGGUGGUUAGAGCGCACCCCUGAUAAGGGUGAGGUCCCUGGUUCGAGUCCAGGAUGGCCCACCUGUACAGGUGGCAAAAAGAAAGAAAAGAAGCGAGGAAUCAGCACCUUAUCUUACUUAUAUAGUAAGAGAGAAUGCUGGCUCUGAGUUCAGAGUCCAGAGGAACCUUGAAAACUGCAUAGAGCUAGGUGAAAAAGCCAAAAAAGAAGACCGCAAGGUCAAGCUAAUAAGGGCUAACGGUGGAUACCUAGGCAC